rnacentral:rRNA from 1 species
UACGUAGGGGGCGAGCGUUGUCCGGAAUUAUUGGGCGUAAAGAGCUCGUAGGCGGCUUGGCAAGUCGGAUGUGAAAACUCCAGGCUCAACCUGGAGCCGCCAUUCGAUACUGCUAUGGCUAGAGUCCGGUAGGGGAGUGUGGAAUUCCCGGUGUAGCGGUGAAAUGCGCAGAUAUCGGGAGGAACACCGAUGGCGAAGGCAGCACUCUGGGCCGGCGCUGACGCUGAGGAGCGAAAGCGUGGGGAGCGAACAGG